rnacentral:rRNA from 1 species
UACAGAGGGGGCAAGCGUUGUUCGGAAUUACUGGGCGUAAAGGGCGCGUAGGCGGCCUUCUAAGUCGAACGUGAAAUCCCCGGGCUCAACCCGGGAACUGCGUCCGAUACUGGAAGGCUUGAAUCCGGGAGAGGGAUGCGGAAUUCCAGGUGUAGCGGUGAAAUGCGUAGAUAUCCUGGAGGAACACCAGUGGCGAAGGCGGU